UACAACGCACUACCUGUUCAUAGUAGUCGUUGCUGUCAACAGAACACUGCUCACCAUCAACGCAGGGGACUACAUCUUCUACACAGACUGGGCGUGGGCGCCAUUCGUUUCGUCCUCGUUGUUUCGCGCCGCGGUGACUGCAGUAGCCGCGAUAGACGCCAUCAUAUCUCUAGCGUGUGCCGGCACCGCACCGUGUGGCGCCACUUUCAUGACCAUCACAACACGUGUGGCGAACGGACGAUGGGUGGACCUUGGAUAGCGCAACGCAUUCGCCGGGCGACAAGACGCAACAAGCCCGCUGCCAUACUGAGUGGCGGUACGCUGGUUGGCCUAUCCUUCCCGCUGUUCAACAUGGUCAACCUGUUGCUUGUAAGGGACCCGCUCGAGGUGGCCUUCAAGUAUCCGAGACCGACUCUGCCCGCGUACAUGACGCCUAUAGAGCCUCAGGUAGGGAAGUUCUACAACUCGCCUGUCGCCCUGGGUUCAGGUGCCGGUGCAGUGCUAACGGUACCCAUCGCUGCGUUGGGUGCAAAACUAAACACGUGG
rnacentral:rRNA from 1 species